rnacentral:lncRNA from 1 species
UUUGAUUAGGGUUUGGAUUAGGGUUUGAUUUAGUUUUUAGGAUUUAGGAUUUAGAUUAGGAUUUGGUUAGGGUUUGGUUUAGGAUUUAGGAUUUGAAUUAGGGUUUGAUUUAGGAUUUAGGGUUUGAUUAGGGUUUGAUUUAGGAUUUGAUUUAGGGUUUAGGAUUUUAUUAGGAUUUAAGAUUCAAUUAGUUUUGGCGUAAAGUUUUAAUGAAGUUCAAUAGGAUUUUAACUAGAAUUAAAUUAAGAUUGAAUUGAGAUAUAUUUCAGUGAUAUUUGUGAUCCUUCUAAUAUUUCUUUAAGAAUUCUUAUUAUUUGUUUGAAAUUUCUUUGAGGUUUUUUUGAAUUUGAUUAAGCUUUCUUAGCAUUAUUAUGGUCUAAU